UGGUGGAGCGAUUUGUCUGGUUAAUUCCGAUAACGAACGAGACUCUGGCCUACUAACUAGACGUUGGAUCUCUUUGUGGGUCCAUCGCAGCUUCUUAGAGGGACGGGCGGCGUUUAGCCGCACGAGAAUGAGCAAUAACA
rnacentral:rRNA from 1 species